UCUAGCUGAGUUGGUAGAGCUUCGGCUUUACUAGCCGCGUGGUCGUGGGUUCAAUCCCCG
rnacentral:tRNA from 1 species